UAUAGUGUUUUCGGUCAGUGCAGAGCAAGUGAAAUGAAUCGACGGCUAGUUCCGAGAAUUGAAUAAUAAUUACGAUAGUAAUAGUGCUAGGAUGCAGAAAAGAAUGUGAAACGAUGUUGAUGUAAUCAUUAUCAGUGGUAAACAAAAGCUAUUGUUUAUAAUACUAUAAAUACUGGGAGCAAUAAACAGAUGGGUUGAGUUUUAUGAGAGAUAACAACAAGUGUUAGUUUAUUUCAGUGGCGACGAGAUAAAAAAAAAAGCUACUUUCGCGAUUAGGUGCGGUGAAGUUAAUAGUUAGCAGUGACGGUAUUGUUGUAAACGGUGUGAAGUGAAAGAAAUUGGAAGUCGCACAAGCCGGUCGAAUAGUGACGCUGAUAUUCGGAACAACCAUUGUUGUGCGGCAAAAGAACGUAUAAUAAAAAACGAAUCGGUGGACGGUGGUCCAGCAAGCGUUGGGAUCGAUCAAGCGGCAGCAGAGCGGAGCCAAUUGGACGGAAACCGGAAAGAAGCUUUGAGAAGCGGAAACAAAUUGAACCAUCUCAGUAUCUCGGUGGUGGAAGAAUCCAGAUCGCCAUCGGGUCAACCCUCGUCUCGGCCCACAAGGGGCAGGUGAAGAUUCAGAAUAGUCAGAGUGGACGAAGGCGUCAUUGUACGCUCCACUUCUCUGACAGCGAAGGCGGAAAUGGUGGAACACGUACUAUACCAGAGAGGGCGGAUCGAAGCGAAAUCCAUGCACGAGGAACCAAACGAACGUUCUCGGAGGCCGACGAUAGCGCAGAUGAAUUCCUCGGUUUCGAACCAGAACAACCCAUGCCCGCCAGUCGCGAACUACACCCAAUCUCAUUACAACCUUUUCAACGGCCGGUGCAACAGCUGAUUAGAAAUGAAUCUAGAACUCCACGAAGGUCAAGUAGACUGAAGAAAAGAAACAUGAUGAUGCAUUUGUAUACAUGAACUAAAUUUUGAACUGAUAAUACAUAUUUUGAAUUAUUAUAAUACUAAGAGUAAUAUGAUCAAAUUUAAUUUAAUUUACAUGAAAUUAACUAGAAGGGAAAGGUAUUGUUGGAUAUAGUGUUUUCGGUCAGUGCAGAGCAAGUGAAAUGAACCGACGGCUAGUUCCGAGAAUUGAAUAAUAAUUACGAUAGUAAUAGUGCUAGGAUGCAGAAAAGAAUGUGAAACGAUGUUGAUGUAAUCAUUAUCAGUGGUAAACAAAAGCUAUUGUUUAUAAUACUAUAAAUACUGGGAGCAAUAAACAGAUGGGUUGAGUUUUAUGAGAGAUAACAACAA